UUUUUUAUGGCUGAGCUUAAGCGAUAGAUUUUUAAUCUAUAAACGAAAAUUAUUUCUUUGCGAU
rnacentral:tRNA from 1 species